rnacentral:rRNA from 1 species
GACGAACGCUGGCGGCGUGCUUAACACAUGCAAGUCGAACGGAAAGGCCCUGCUUUUGUGUGGUGCUCGAGUGGCGAACGGGUGAGUAACACGUGAGUAACCUGCCCUUGACUUUGGUAUAACUUCAGGAAACUGGGGCUAAUCCCGGAAAGGAGCUCCUGCUGCAUGGUGGGGGUUGGAAAGUUACGGCUGUGGGGGAUUGACUCGCGGCUUAUCAGCUUGUUGGUGGGGUGGGGGCGUACCACGGCUUUCGCGGGUAGCCGGCCUUAGAGGGGGUCCAGCGCCACUGGGACUCUGAGACGCCCCAGUCUCCUCCGGGGGACACAGGUGGGGAAUAUAGCACAAUGGGCGGAAGCCUGAUGCAGAGACGCUGCGUGUGGGAUGACGGGGUUCGGGUAGUGAAAAGCGUUUGCCUGUGACGAGGAGUGAGUGACGGUACCGGGUGAAGAAGCACCGGCUAACUACGUG